rnacentral:rRNA from 1 species
UUUCCAGACUCCUACGGGAGGCAGCAGUGGGGAAUAUUGGGCAAUGGGCGCAAGCCUGACCCAGCAACGCCGCGUGAAGGAAGAAGGCUUUCGGGUUGUAAACUUCUUUUCUCAGGGACGAAGAAAGUGACGGUACCUGAGGAAUAAGCCACGGCUAACUACGUGCCAGCAGCCGCGGUAAUACGUAGGUGGCAAGCGUUAUCCGGAUUUAUUGGGUUUAAAGGGUGCGUAGGCGGACGCUUAAGUCAGCGGUAAAAUUGCGGGGCUAAACCUCGUCGAGCCGUUGAAACUGGGUGCCUUGAGUGGGCGAGAAGUACGCGGAAUGCGUGGUGUAGCGGUGAAAUGCAUAGAUAUCACGCAGAACUCCGAUUGCGAAGGCAGCGUACCGGCGCCCAACUGACGCUGAAGCACGAAGGCGUGGGUAUCGAACAGGAUUAGAUACCCCCGUA